AUCAGGAAGACUCGAUCUCACUGGGGUGCUAGCUUUCUUGCAGAGAUCGCUCCCUAGAUUAUCGAAUCAGUUUGAUCUUUUGAUUCUCUUCUCAAGAGAAUCAAUUAGAUCAAUAGGAGGAUGGUGAAAUCAAAUUACAUCUGAUUUUUUUUUUACUUUUCUCUUCUCAAGAGAAAAUCAAAGAUCUAUUGAAGAAGACAAGAGAUCAAAUCUCUUUCUUCUUCCUUCUUGUCCAACUCUUGGACUAGAUCUAGAAAAGGUAGAUGAGAACCGU
rnacentral:lncRNA from 1 species